rnacentral:rRNA from 1 species
CCUUAGGACAGAGACAAUCCCGGGAAACUGGGGCUAAUAUCAGAUAGAUGAGGAGUCCUGAAAUGGUGCCUCGUCGAAAGGGCGUCGAAGACAUGCUUUCGACGUUGCCUAAGGAUGGGACCGCGUCCGAUCAGGUUGUUGGUGGGGUAACGGCUCACCAAGCCUAUAACCGGUACGGGCCCUGAGAGGGGAAGCCCGGAGAUGGAACCUGAGACAAUGUUCCAGGCCCUAUGGGGCGCAGCAGGCGCGAAACCUCCACAAUGCACGAAAGUGUGAUGGGGUUACCCCGAGUGCCUUCCUUAAAGGAGGGCUUUUCUUCGGUGUAAGGAGCCGGAGGAAUAAGGAGGGGGCAAGAUUGGUGUCAGCCGC